GUCCUUUAGUUUCCCUAAUGGGAAUAGCACUUUGUAGAAUUCAGGUAUUCAUGCCAGAUUCCAGCGGGGCUGUUCCCUCUCACCUAGGGCCUGCAGUGCCCAGCAUUUCCUCACUGGGCAGUGGCCAGAUGAGGCCUGAUCCACACCUGACCCUUGUCACCAGCAUGCUGCCUGCUCCAAAUGUUUUCCCAGAAACUGGCUGUUCCUUGGACAAGGGUGAAGAAGCUUCUAGAAGAGACUCUGGACAGCUUGGCCAAGAAGCUGUCCUGAUGGCAUGGGAGUGUGUGUGGGAAGUAUAUUCCACAAGCUGAUUGGCUGAGGGCAGCUUGGAGCCAGCCAGACUGUGUGAAUGAAAUUGUUUUAAUUAAUUUUCAAGUGUUA